AGUGAACGCUGGCGGUAGGCCUAACACAUGCAAGUCGAACGGCAGCACAGUAAGAGCUUGCUCUUACGGGUGGCGAGUGGCGGACGGGUGAGGAAUACAUCGGAAUCUACUUUUUCGUGGGGGAUAACGUAGGGAAACUUACGCUAAUACCGCAUACGACCUACGGGUGAAAGCAGGGGAUCUUCGGACCUUGCGCGAUUGAAUGAGCCGAUGUCGGAUUAGCUAGUUGGCGGGGUAAAGGCCCACCAAGGCGACGAUCCGUAGCGGGUCUGAGAGGAUGAUCAGCCACACUGGAACUGAGACACGGUCCAGACUCCUACGGGAGGCAGCAGUGGGGAAUAUUGGACAAUGGGCGCAAGCCUGAUCCAGCCAUACCGCGUGGGUGAAGAAGGCCUUCGGGUUGUAAAGCCAUUUUGUUGGGAAAGAAAAGCAGCAGGUUAAUACCCCGCUGUUCUGACGGUACCCAAAGAAUAAGCACCGGCUAACUUCGUG
rnacentral:rRNA from 1 species